rnacentral:rRNA from 1 species
UUAAGUUAAUAAGGGCGCACGGUGGAUGCCUUGGCACUAGAAGCCGAUGAAGGACGUGACUAACGACGAAAUGCUUUGGGGAGUUGUAAGUAAACAUUGAUCCAGAGAUGUCCGAAUGGGGGAACCCGGCAUGUAAUGCAUGUCACUCAUUACUGUUAAGGUAAUGUAGAGGAAGACGCAGUGAACUGAAACAUCUAAGUAGCUGCAGGAAGAGAAAGCAAACGCGAUUGCCUUAGUAGCGGCGAGCGAAAAGGUAAGAGGGCAAACCGAUGUGUUUACACAUCGGGGUUGUAGGACUGCGUUGUGGGACGACAAGAUUAUAGAAGAAUUACCUGGGAAGGUAAGCCAAAGAGAGUAAUAGCCUCGUAUUCGAAAUAGUCUUUAACCCUAGCAGUAUCCUGAGUACGGCGAGACACGAGAAAUCUCGUCGGAAUCUGGGAGGACCAUCUCCUAACCCUAAAUACUCUCUAGUGACCGAUAGUGAACCAGUACCGUGAGGGAAAGGUGAAAAGCACCCCGGGAGGGGAGUGAAAUAGAACCUGAAACCGUGUGCCUACAACAAGUUCGAGCCCGUUAAUGGGUGAGAGCGUGCCUUUUGUAGAAUGAACCGGCGAGUUACGAUAUGAUGCGAGGUUAAGUUGAAGAGACGGAGCCGUAGGGAAACCGAGUCUUAAUAGGGCGCAUUAGUAUCAUGUCGUAGACCCGAAACCAUGUGACCUACCCAUGAGCAGGGUGAAGGUGAGGUAAAACUCACUGGAGGCCCGAACCAGGGCACGUUGAAAAGUGCUUGGAUGACUUGUGGGUAGCGGAGAAAUUCCAAACGAACUUGGAGAUAGCUGGUUCUCUCCGAAAUAGCUUUAGGGCUAGCGUCGAUGUUAAGUCUCUUGGAGGUAGAGCACUGUUUGAUUGAGGGGUCCAUCCCGGAUUACCAAUAUCAGAUAAACUCCGAAUGCCAACGAGAUAUAAUCGGCAGUCAGACUGCGAGUGCUAAGAUCCGUAGUCGAAAGGGAAACAGCCCAGACCACCAGCUAAGGUCCCAAAAUAUAUGUUAAGUGGAAAAGGAUGUGGGGUUGCACAGACAACUAGGAUGUUAGCUUAGAAGCAGCUAUUCAUUCAAAGAGUGCGUAAUAGCUCACUAGUCGAGUGACCCUGCGCCGAAAAUGUACCGGGGCUAAAACAUAUUACCGAAGCUGUGGAUACCUUUUAGGUAUGGUAGGAGAGCGUUCUAUGUGUGAUGAAGGUGUACCGUGAGGAGCGCUGGAACGCAUAGAAGUGAGAAUGCCGGUAUGAGUAGCGAAAGACAGGUGAGAAUCCUGUCCACCGUAAGACUAAGGUUUCCAGGGGAAGGCUCGUCCGCCCUGGGUUAGUCGGGACCUAAGGAGAGACCGAAAGGUGUAUCCGAUGGCCAACAGGUUGAUAUUCCUGUACUAGAGUAUAUAGUGAUGGAGGGACGCAGUAGGCUAACUAAAGCGUGCGAUUGGAAGUGCACGUCUAAGCAGUGAGGUGUGAUAUGAGUCAAAUGCUUAUAUCUUUAACAUUGAGCUGUGAUGGGGAGCGAAGUUUAGUAGCGAAGUUAGUGAUGUCACACUGCCAAGAAAAGCUUCUAGCGUUAAUUAUACUCUACCCGUACCGCAAACCGACACAGGUAGUCGAGGCGAGUAGCCUCAGGUGAGCGAGAGAACUCUCGUUAAGGAACUCGGCAAAAUGGCCCCGUAACUUCGGGAGAAGGGGCGCUGGCUUUAAGUCAGCCGCAGUGAAUAGGCCCAAGCAACUGUUUAUCAAAAACACAGCUCUCUGCUAAAUCGUAAGAUGAUGUAUAGGGGGUGACGCCUGCCCGGUGCUGGAAGGUUAAGAGGAGCGCUUAGCAUUAGCGAAGGUGUGAAUUGAAGCCCCAGUAAACGGCGGCCGUAACUAUAACGGUCCUAAGGUAGCGAAAUUCCUUGUCGGGGAAGUUCCGACCCGCACGAA